rnacentral:rRNA from 1 species
UACGGAGGGUGCGAGCGUUAAUCGGAAUUACUGGGCGUAAAGCGCACGCAGGCGGUUAUUUAAGCUAGAAGUGAAAGCCCCGAGCUCAACUUGGGAAGGCCUUUUAGAACUGGAUAACUAGAGUCUUGGAGAGGGGAGUGGAAUUCCACGUGUAGCGGUGAAAUGCGUAGAUAUGUGGAGGAACAUCAGUGGCGAAGGCGACUCCCUGGCCAAAGACUGACGCUCAUGUGCGAAAGUGUGGGUAGCGAACAGG